UAAGUGUUUGGCAAUUAUGGUUUUUAAAAAAGAAUCAGUCCCGGUCAUAUUUGAACCACCUUGUAUUUAACCAUGGCAAAACAGCAGUUAAUUCGCUGAUCAGCUGUAGGUCUAGAUGCUGCCAACUUUAAGCCUCUUGCAAUUCCUAUCAAUGACUUCCCUUGUCCAAUAACAUAUACAUUUGGAUUUACAUGGUUUAGGAUUACUUCUGCCUGUGUCCUGCACAAUUUACUUAUGUAGCCAUAUACAUAAUUUGAAAACAAUGUGCAAUUUGCAGAUUCCCUAAAUACCACAUGAAAAUUUUGUUAGAUUUCAAUGCCAAAGUAGGUAGGGAAGACAUUUUCAAACUCCAAACACGUUACAUUGCUCCCUUCUAAAGGUUGUUCAUCCCAAACAGCAUAAAGGUUCUUUCUUUGUUUCGGGUGUUCACCUUCCUAAUGGUAUCUCCACCCUACUUUCAUUUUGAUGUACGAUUCUUCCAUCUGUACAAUGUCCCCACAUCAUAACAUUCAUAAAUUUACUUGGACAUCUCCUGAUGGAAAGACACACAACCAAACUGACCAUAUGUUGAUAGAUAGGAGAGAGCAUUCAAGUAUACUUGAUAUCCAAUCUUUCAGGGCAGCAGAUUGUGAUACUGACCACUAUAUGGUGAUGGCAAAAGUUUGGGGAGAGACUGGCGCUGAACAAACAAACAAUGCACAGGGUUCAUAUGAAGAGACACGUUGAGUGGUAGUGUGCGAAUCUGAGAGCUCCUUAAUUUAAGUACAAAAGAGCAGUUUCAUUUGGUCAGUAGUAAAAAAUAAGUGGUUAUCUUCUUUAACAAGUGUGCUAUAGUGAACCUUAUAUUUAAAUUUUUUUCUAUACUGAACGUUUUCUUCCUUUUUUUUACUCUUAAGCCACGCUUAGCUCCUAGGCCAUUUUCCGCCAUAUUGUGAGCUAUUAGUAUCUGAUCUUCCGCUCAACGCUCCUAAAACUGCAUUUUUUUAACUUCAACUUUCUGUUAAUAUAGAUUAGUAGUAGAAUUAGUAAACAUACUUGUUAUUUUAUAUCUUAAAUACGGUGAUUUGUAUUUUCAUAAGUGUACUGGUAGGCCUAACCUACAAGUAGUGUGUUACUUUGUCUUAAGGAAGCUGAUUUGCAUUUUCGUAAGUAUACAGUAGGCCUAACAUACAAGGAGUGUGUUAUUUUAUAUCUUAAGGAAGUCGAUUUGUAUUUUCACAAGUGUUAUUUAUAUCUUACAUAAAUUGUUUGUAUUUUCGUAAGUGUACAGUAGGCCUAACCUACAAGAAGUGUGUUAUUUUAUAUCUUUAGUAAGUUGAUUUGUACUAUUGCAAGUGUACCAGUGGGCCUAACCUAAAAUAAGUGUAUCAUUGUAUAUAGUGGGCCUUAAAAGAUUUGUGCCAGCAUAUACUCUUGUAAAUGUGGGGCCUGCAGAAGGAAGGUUAGCCAGGGGACAGGAUGUGAGGACUGUGGCCUGUGGUUUCAUUGGGAGUGCUCUGGCACCAAUAGUGAUUUGGCCAUAUUACCUUGGUACUGCAACUCCUGUGUGCAAGCCAAGGUAAUAAAGAAACAAGAGGAGACUAUCUUGAGUUUGAAAAGGGAGCUGGAACUUGCAAGAACUGAGAUUGACCUCUUAAAAGGGGAAUUAAAUUUAGUAGAUAAUUGUCCUGAAGAAUUUAGGACUGUGUCCAACUCCCGAAGAAAACUUAAAAAAGUUCCUUCUUCACUAGAUGUUAAGUUAGCUUUAACCAAUCGAUUUGAACCUCUAGCUAUGCUAGGGCCUCAGACUGAUGGUGACGCUAUAGAUCAGCCUGUGUUAGAGGCUAAGCCUAAGCGUAAGAUUCUAGUGCUGGGUAGCAGUCAUGGUAGGGGUAUCGGGCAGAGGCUACAGAAAGCAAUGGGAGAUGCAUAUGCUGUGACCAGCAUAUUCAAGCCCAAUGCUGAUCUGAGCAAUGUCACUGGGGACAUUGGAAAAUUGUGCAAAGGUUUU